AGUGAACGCUGGCGGUAGGCCUAACACAUGCAAGUCGAACGGCAGCACAGUAAGAGCUUGCUCUUACGGGUGGCGAGUGGCGGACGGGUGAGGAAUACAUCGGAAUCUACUUUUUCGUGGGGGAUAACGUAGAGAAACUUACGCUAAUACCGCAUACGACCUACGGGUGAAAGCAGGGGAUCUUCGGACCUUGCGCGAUUGAAUGAGCCGAUGUCGGAUUAGCUAGUUGGCGGGGUAAAGGCCCACCAAGGCGACGAUCCGUAGCUGGUCUGAGAGGAUGAUCAGCCACACUGGAACUGAGACACGGUCCAGACUCCUACGGGGGGCAGCAGUGGGGAAUAUUGGACAAUGGGCGCAAGCCUGAUCCAGCCAUACCGCGUGGGUGAAGAAGGCCUUCGGGUUGUAAAGCCCUUUUGUUGGGAAAGAAAAGCAGCAGGUUAAUACCCCGCUGUUCUGACGGUACCCAAAGAAUAAGCACCGGCUAACUUCGUG
rnacentral:rRNA from 1 species